rnacentral:lncRNA from 1 species
GAUUAAAGUUCUCAGCUGUAUGGACACUUACACCUCCUUCAAGAUGGUGGUGCCCAUAGGCAACGAGAGACUCUGUGGAGGCAGGCCUCUUAAGUCUUGGUCCCCUGUGCUGACAGGAAGGGGACGGCCCUAUGUUCUUGGAGUUGGCACAUAUGCCACGCUAUCGAUGGCAGUUAGGGAGAUGGCGGCUUCAGAGCUGAGCUAUCCAGAGGAAGAGGCUACCUUCUUUGUAUGUACACCUUCAAAAAUGGCUACUCCACAGGUGCCAGCAUGUUUCCUCCUUUAAGGGCCUCAAAAGUUCAGAAUCCGAGUUCCUGGAGGUUCAUCAUGUGAUCCGCAGCAUCUUCUGCUCAAAGGUGUUACCGAGUGUGCCCAGCAGGGGGGCUGUGGGGUUGCCUAGGUGACCAACUUCAGGGAAGUACUCUGUGGAAGUCUGUUGGUCAAGUGAGGUGAUGAGAGGACCUGGAGGGAGGGGAGACUUCUGUGGGGUUCCUUGUUGUGUAUCAGUGAUGAGAGUCUGUGGAGAGUAUGAAGCUAACAAAUGAGAAGCGCUCUUCAGGUCGCAGCAAGAACCAUGGCUAGCAGAGGGAGAAAUCUACAAUCAACCACAUCCAGGGUACAUCUGAAUUGCACGAACCUUUUGCACUUUGUCUUCUUUCUUCUUCCUGACAAGAAUGUGGUCACAAUACCUGGAUAAGCAGAAGCCAUCUUGCUACUAUGAGUUUGAAAGUUACAAGAAGAUGACCAAGCAGAAAGGAAAGAGUCUGGGCUGUUAAUGACCUCAGAGUCCUUGCACCAGUCUUAGACAAUUGACCUCCAGGCUUCUUGUUACUGGAGAGAAAUAAAAACCCUUAUGUGUUCAAG